CGAUGGCCACAGCAGCAACCCUUGCUCCAUUACUGACCCAAAGAGUGAUCUUACUUUCUUUCAACCCCCUAACUUCUUCAAGACCCUGCAUUGAAGUACACAAAUGAGCACUUGAACCAGAAUCAAAAAUUCAACUAGAAGAAGAGAAAAAUUGUUAAAUAAGUUUCAAUAAUGAGCAUUUCAGACGUACCUUCUGAAGGCCCAUCAUUCUUCCUGCUCUUAACAGUCGUCAGAUAGGCC
rnacentral:lncRNA from 1 species